GUGGAUGUUACAGGAGACGAACACCUACAAAACUGGGUACAUGGCGGUGCUGGAGGCGACUUUAUAUCUAAUUAAUACAUCAUUUAUCUCUGUGACCAUUUAUUGUAAUGUGAACCAAUACAAGUUAAGACAGGCUGUAUUGGUGUGUUCAAUCACUGUUGUCGUGGCUACCGGUGCGACUUUAAAGCUCUUGCGCUGUAACAGGAGAAGGAUAGACUGGUCUCAGGCUAGACCAGAGCUGACUCUGCUACAGGGUUCAUACCCUUCUCCCUGGCUGCAAAAACUCCCUGAAGCAACCUCAGACAGUCAGUGGAAUGCAUCUCGUCACUCCAGAGGGCAUGGCCACCGGCCUAAUAUAUUUUUAAAAAUAGGAUUCUCUCUCGGCUAGUCUAUACAAUUACAUUUGCUAGCACAACGUAUAGAUAAAAUCUUAUGCUCAAUCUGAGUACAAGAUGUUUGGGGCACGACCUGAGAGCUUUCAUUUUAUUGACACCUGGCUAAGUGAAACAAAACUUUAACUUUAUUAACAAUGGAUUGGAGUUUAAAUUGUAAUUUGUAGUCCAUUAUAAAGUUUGUAACAUUCUCCAAGUGAACUUUUAAUUUCACAAUUGGUUUCUCAAUAGUUUCUCAACUUGUGUUGUGUAAG